UGGGGAAUAUUGGACAAUGGGCGAAAGCCUGAUCCAGCCAUGCCGCGUGUGUGAAGAAGGUCUUCGGAUUGUAAAGCACUUUAAGUUGGGAGGAAGGGCAGUAAGCGAAUACCUUGCUGUUUUGACGUUACCGACAGAAUAAGCACCGGCUAACUCUGUGCCAGCAGCCGCGGUAAUACAGAGGGUGCAAGCGUUAAUCGGAAUUACUGGGCGUAAAGCGAGCGUAGGUGGUUCGUUAAGUUGAAUGUGAAAGCCCCGGGCUCAACCUGGGAACUGCAUCCAAAACUGGCGAGCUAGAGUAGGGCAGAGGGUGGUGGAAUUACCUGUGUAGCGGUGAAAUGCGUAGAUAUAGAAAGGAACACCAGUGGCGAAGGCGACCACCUGAGCUCAUACUGACACUGAGGUGCGAAAGCGUGGGGAGCAAACAGG
rnacentral:rRNA from 1 species